rnacentral:hammerhead_ribozyme from 1 species
AUCCAGCUGAGAAGUCCCAAAUGGGACGAAACGCGAUUCCUGGAU